rnacentral:rRNA from 1 species
UUACGGGAGGCAGCAGUGGGGAAUAUUGGACAAUGGGGGCAACCCUGAUCCAGCAAUGCCGCGUGUGUGAAGAAGGCCUGCGGGUUGUAAAGCACUUUCGGUGGGGAAGAACGCGCUUGCGAUUAAUACUCGUGAGCAGUGACGGUACCCAAAGAAGAAGCACCGGCUAACUCUGUGCCAGCAGCCGCGGUAAUACAGAGGGUGCAAGCGUUAAUCGGAAUUACUGGGCGUAAAGCGCACGUAGGUGGUUAUUUAAGUCGGAUGUGAAAUCCCCGGGCUUAACCUGGGAACUGCAUUCGAUACUGAAUAACUAGAGUCUGGUAGAGGGUGGUGGAAUUCCAGGUGUAGCGGUGAAAUGCGUAGAUAUCUGGAGGAACAUCAGUGGCGAAGGCGGCCACCUGGACUGAGACUGACACUGAGGUGCGAAAGCGUGGGGAGCAAACAGGAUUAGAUACCCCGGUAGA